UACGGAGGGUGCAAGCGUUAUCCGGAUUUAUUGGGUUUAAAGGGUCCGUAGGCGGAUCCGUAAGUCAGUGGUGAAAUCUCAUAGCUUAACUAUGAAACUGCCAUUGAUACUGCGGGUCUGAGUGAGAUUGAGGUAGCUGGAAUAAGUAGUGUAGCGGUGAAAUGCAUAGCUAUUACUUAGAACACCAAUUGCGAAGGCAGGUUACCAAGUCUUAACUGACGCUGAUGGACGAAAGCGUGGGGAGCGAACAGG
rnacentral:rRNA from 1 species